GAGUUUGAUCAUGGCUCAGGAUGAACGCUGGCGGCAUGCCUAACACAUGCAAGUCGAUCGGUAAGGCCCUUCGGGGUACACGAGAGGCGGACGGCUGAGUAACGCGUAGGAACGCACCCCACAGCGAGGGAUAAGGUACCGAAAGGUGCUCUAAUACCGCAUACGGUCUUCGGAUUAAAGCAUUUAUGCGCUGAGGGAGCGGCCUGCGUCAUAUUAGAUAGUUGGUGAGGUAAUGGCUUACCAAGUCGAUGAUGUGUAACUGGUCUGAGAGGAUGAUCAGUCAGACUGGAACUGAAAUACGGUCCAGACUCCUACGGGAGGCAGCAGUGAGGAAUAUUUCACAAUGAGCGAAAGCUUGAUGGAGCAAUGCCGCGUGCGGGAUGAAGGCCUUCGGGUUGUAAACCGCUUUUAUAAGAGAAGAUUAUGACGGUAACUUAUGAAUAAGGGACGGCUAACUACGUGCCAGCAGCCGCGGUAA
rnacentral:rRNA from 1 species